UCCUAAACAUGAUGGCCAGCACACUAAUAGGAUGUGGGAGAUCGCUGUCCUUUCCACUCCUCAGUCGGCUCCAGCCCACCCACAUCGUACGUAGCCCCGGAUCCUUCAUGUCUGUGAAGAAGUUCCCAGAAAUCCACAGCAGCAUGCCUGCCAAGCUCUCGGGCAUCGUUCUCAAGGUCGUUGUUAUGGCGUGAGAGGCUGGGGCUGCCGCACUGACUCAUUCUUUAUCAAAUCUGUGGUUCCCGUGCUCUGACAGGUAUAACCCAGAACAAGCUAGAGGAAACCCUGGCUCCCUGAGGUUGCUUCUUCCGUGGAACCAGGAGAGAAGCUGACACGCUGUGUGCUUUAGCUCCCUUCUUUCCUUCUGGUCGAUGCAGCUUCCUUUACACAUCUGGACCCGUUUCCCAGGCCUGUUUUCCCGAGAUGGGUGAGCAGAGAACUAGAAGACUAGCCAAUGGCAGCAGUUUGGCUCCUUCCCACCGUGCAUUGCCAAGAGCCUCCUGGGCUUCUCUCGAGAGUCAUCAUAUGAUAUCAUUUCGAUUGUCCUGAUAAGCAGAACCUUCUGGACAGAGGCUGGGGACGAGGGAGGGUCAACUCAGGGAGAGGACUGCAGAGGAGGCAGGGGGUCCUGAGGGUCAAACAUAGCAUCGAGAAGCCAAACCCGCCCACUUCCUUCAGCUCUAGAACUCCACUGUGUGCCUCAUCUCCUCCUGUGUGGCUUGAGACCUUGAUGGAGACAAGAUGGGGGCCGGUACCCAGACUUUACAAGGAAGCCCUGGAGAUCUGUGUACAUGGGCUCUGGUAGUGUCAUGGCACAGGUGAUGGAGGGUUACGCCAGGACUCGGGGAUCCUCAGCCCUGCUCUCUGUCUUUGCUCUUAGGGCCCUGGGAGUCAGCUUUUCUGCUGGGGGACCUUCCAAGGACAUCUGCACAGGAAGGUCGACUCUGAAGCUUGCUUAGGGAUUCCAGGAACGUGGAUUUCCUUUUAAUUCAUAGAUAGAAGAAUCCAAGCCUUCUGGGAGUGAUUAUAAAGGUCAUAAAUGCAAUGUAACUCAAUGCGAAAUUCAAGCCAGGGCUUCUAUGCCCGUCUGAGACCCAGGACAUGUCUGUCUUCCAUUCGUUCCUUCACUAAGGAUACCAUCCCCACCACCACCACAGUCUGUACUGAGAGUCACAAGUCACAGGGUUUAGUCCCAGGGGACUGAGAGGGGGGAUAAUUGUGAAAGACUGUGAGCCCCGGGCAAGUAUUCCCCUGGCAGAUAGAUGGGGGAGGAGAACAAUUCGUGGCAGUGGCAGGACUUGAGCCGCCAUGGUGGUCCUGGGCUAUUGACAUGAUCCCUUGUGGUGGCACUGGGAUAUCUAUAUGAGCAGUCAUGGUGGCCCUGGGCUCUCAUAAAGCCUCCCCAGAGGCUCUACCCUACUCUUGUGAGUGAAGAAGGGCUAUCUUAAUUACUUUUCCCUGUUCUUUCCUUUGUGUACUGCAAUUGUUACUAUAAAACUUAAAGAUUUCUUUAAUCAUGUGGAUAUGCAUAUAUGUGUGUAAGUAUAUGUGUACAUAUGUAUGUAUGCAUGCAUGUAUGUAUUAGUUACCCUUGCUGUGAUAAGACACCAAGACCAAGGCAACUUGCAGAACAAAGGGUUUAUUUGGGCUUGUGGUUCCAGAGGGAUAGGACUACCUGAAAGCAAGCUGCCCGUGACUUCCAGAGCAGCAAGCUGAGGGAGGGCUCCCAUCUUGGAUUGAAAGCACUGAACGGAGAGAGCAAACUAGAAAUGGCAUGGGUCUUUAAACUCUAGAAGCCUGCCCCCUGCCCAGUGAAUGCUUCCUCUAACAAGACCAUAUCUCCUAAAUCUCCCCAAAUAGUUCUACCAACUGGGGACCAUGUGCUCAAAUAGAUGAGACCACGAGGAACAAUUUCAUUCAAACCACCACAAUUUGUGUUUUGGAGGUUCUGUGCAUGGGGGUUCAGGUGCCAAGGGAAGCCAGAGAGAGCACGGAAUCUCUAGAAGUUAGAGUGACAGGUCGUUGUAAGCUACCCAGUGUGGGUGUUGAGAAUUGAACUUGAGUCCUUGAAAGAGCAGCCAACACUGAGCCACCUCUUCAGUCCCUUAUUACAAUCUUUCCUUGCUUGAUGUAUACCUAAGCCGUGAGAUUGCCAAGUCUACAAUGGCAGGAAGCACACCAGCCCCAGCAGUACCUGCCUACACAGUUCACCUAACACAUACUUUAUUCCAAGCAGCCAAGGUGGGUGUCUCCUGUGUAACCCAGGCUGGCCUCCAGCUUGUCAUCCUCCCUACUUCUGAUUCUCAAGUGCUGGGGACACAGGUCUGUACCGUCACACCUGGUCCAAGACUCUGUGUAUGUGUGUGUGUGUGUGUGUGUGUGUGUCUAUUAAUCAUCUAUCAUAUCUGUAUCUAUCUAUCUAUCUAUCUAUCUAUCUAUCUGUCUGUCAUUUAUAUAGUCUUGAUGAUCAGUUUGAAAAAUGAUAUAAAUAGCAGACUGCUGUGGUAGUUAAUACUGUCAACUUGACAAGAUCCUUCUAGAAUCACUUAUUUGAGGUUAUUUGAAUUAGGUGAGCCUCUGCUAGCAUGCUGUUUGGUUAUCGUGGUUAGGUUAAAUGAGGUGGAAGACGCCUCUAAGGGAGGGCAGCACCAUUCCCCCACUUUGAGACCUGCACUCCAGGAAAUGGGGACAGCUGUCUGGGUGUGGGCAUUCAACUCUCUCUUCCUCCUGACUGGACACAGUGACCAGUUUCCCCAAGCUUCCCCACUCACGACUUUCCCACCAGGAGGGGCUGUUUCCCCUCCAACUGUGAGCUGAAAUAAACCCUUUGUCUCUU
ensembl:lincRNA